UCCCCAUCUCCCCGCUCCUCCCCGCCGCCGCUUCCCUCUCCUUGCCUGCUCCCCGCCGGGCGCCGCCGCCUCCCCUCUCCUCUCCGGCUCCCCUCCCCACCCCUCACUCCUCCGCGCGGCACGGGCCUCCCAGCUCUCUGGCUCUCCGCCGCCACCUCCCCUCCCUUUCUCCCUCUCAGCCUGCCUCCACCGCCCCACCCUCUCCCACGAUAUCAGAUCCGGGUCUCUCUAGGGUUAGGGAUCUGGCGGCAUGAGAUCGAGCAGACCUCACCGGCCUCCGUGAUGGCCAUGGUGGACAGUACAGUAAGGAGCGCAUCUUCCCGUUGUCUUGUGCGCCUCCACUCGAUCCUCGCGCUCGCGCUCCUCCUCCCGAUGGGCGGCGCGGCGCGGCUUCCGGAGUGGGGGAGGGACGCGCAGCUCCGGCUCUGGGGUGAGGGCGAGGCGGCGGGCUGGGGCUCACCCACUGGCACUCGUCCUGGCACAAGUGCCCCACUGAGCAGUGAUGGCGGACUUCGUCGAAUUUGAAGCCGCAAGGUUUCGCAUGUGGUCUCCCCGGCGACCAAUGCCUGACAGUGCUGAUCUCAGCGGCGGCGGUAGCAAGCGAGCCGGGUGACUUGGGCGGCGCAGAAAACACUAGCCACCUUCGUCUCCCUCUCCUCCCUUCACGCUGCCUCACCGCAUGGCAUAGUGAUAUGCUGGAAAUGCCGACCUGACAUUUACCAUUGGCAAGUUCAGCUGGUUCAAGUAUGAGGCGCUGGUCAUGGGGAAUCACGGGCCGCAUCACCUGUUUCUUGGGCAGACGCAGCUACAUUGCUGGGGCAUAGGGUGCGACGAUGACAUCGUGGACCUCCUCAGCCGCCGGUUCAACCUCUCCUGCACACCUCCUCCAUCUUCGUCCUCCAGCAGCCCAAGCUGGGAUGUCAUCAGGUUGGAGCAAUGCUGCAGGGCGUUUCUAUGUCAUGUUUCUCAAGAACAUGGUCAAGAAGCCCCCAAAUAUCUGAUCCUCUGGUUUGUUCAAAAUAGAUUUCUUCAUUUCGUCCUUCGUACGUGCCUGGUAUAUGACAGAAGAACGAUAGAAAUGAGACAGAGUAAGAAAAAUGUAGAGUGUAUAUGCUAACAGGGUCUGAUCCUAUCGGUGCACAUGAAGUUGGUGACUGCAAGGUUAGGCAGAGGGGUGGUUCAGAGCUGCAGUCCUGUAGUAGGAGGAUGUUGCUUGAGCGCUUGCUAGGUGAGAAACAAUUUUGGCCUGAAUCCAAUUAUGGGCACGAAAAAAUAAUAUAAUAGCUUCAGUUAGAAAAGACUAAUGGGAAAAGAUGCUUUUUUAGCAUUGUUGUAUCAUGUGAUUCUUUUGACACUGCAGGACAUGUAAGAACCAAAUAUUAUUCAUGGAAUUACUGACUCACCAUUCACUAAACUGCUUUGGUUAAAUGACUCUACAAAGAUCAAUAUAUUCAUGAUUCUUUUCAGUACUUCUAAAGUGUGUUGAUGUUUUCAGUACUUCUUGCACUGAAGAACAGUCUUGGUUUUGGUUUAUUAUUAGAUUUUUUUUCUUACCUUGUCUCCUCACCAUGACAACCUGUAAUUACUCUCCUGUCUUUGAGAAAGCAAAGCACAUGUUCCUAGAAAACGAUACUAUGUCUUUUACUAUUCCUAGAAGGUCCAAGAUUGACACUUCUGCUUUGUAGCAUUCUCUUUAUUUAAACAAAUAAAUAGUGCAUAUCAAACUCAGUAUAUAUGCAUGAGCAGAGUGCCACUAUAUCAAACUCUGAAUUUAGUAGAGAAAUAUUGAUUUGAGGGAAAUUGUGAUAUCUCUAGGUUGAACUUACAUUAAGCUUGGGCAAGCACCAAGUAUACAACCAGGUAUUCUGUCCCUGCAUCAAUGGCUGAGUUGCAGGAAUGAUUUGAUAGGAGACUACUUUUUUGUUCAUUCUUUUUCCCUUAUUAUACCUUUUGCUGAUAAGGUCAGUUUUUUUUAGCAUGCUAAUCAUUUGUUGGUUGCUUAAUUCAGUUUGUACCUCCUUAAUUUAGUCCUUUUGCACCUCUGAUGGCACUUUUGGAUUCAUCGCUUCUGGCAUACAUGUUCAGAUCCUUCAAAUUCACCAUAUUAUUUUGGCUUGCAAACAACGGAACUGUUGUCCUGUAACCUAUAUUAUUUUGAGGGAUCUUUUUCUUCUCUUGAUCAUAGUUUGAUCCGUUGUCUUGUGAUUUGUGAUUGGGCAUGCCAUGUGACAAUUGGUUUUGCCUAAAGAUAGUGAAUAUAAGGACAUGUAGUGCACAGCGCACAUGGUUGCUGCUUGUGUCGGCUGUAGUUUAUAUCUUCCCUCUGUCAGGAACUUCUGUAAAGAUCUGGCUCACAUAAUUACUCUUAUGUUACUCUUUUUUUU